rnacentral:rRNA from 1 species
GCGUAGGAAUUUUGAGUGGGGCUGACCUUAGUACGAGAGGACCGGGUUGGACUAGCCUCUAGUGAAUCUGUUGUUCCGCCAGGGGCAUUGCAGAGUAGCUACGCUGGGAAUAGAUAAGCGCUGAAAGCAUCUAAGUGCGAAACUAGCCACGAGAUGAGAAUUCCAUAUAGGGCCGUAGCAGACUACUACGUUGAUAGGUUAUAGAUGUAAAGAUGGCGACAUCACAGUCGAGUAAUACUAAUCACCCGAAGCUUUCAAA